GAAAGGCCAAUCAAACCGGGAGAUAGCUGGUUCUCCCCGAAAGCUAUUUAGGUAGCGCCUCGUGAAUUCAUCUCCGGGGGUAGAGCACUGUUUCGGCAAGGGGGUCAUCCCGACUUACCAACCCGAUGCAAACUGCGAAUACCGGAGAAUGUUAUCACGGGAGACACACGGCGGGUGCUAACGUCCGUCGUGAAGAGGGAAACAACCCAGACCGCCAGCUAAGGUCCCAAAGUCAUGGUUAAGUGGGAAACGAUGUGGGAAGGCCCAGACAGCCAGGAUGUUGGCUUAGAAGCAGCCAUCAUUUAAAGAAAGCGUAAUAGCUCACUGGUCGAGUCGGCCUGCGCGGAAGAUGUAACGGGGCUAAACCAUGCACCGAAGCUGCGGCAGCGACGCUGAUGCGUUGUUGGGUAGGGGAGCGUUCUGUAAGCCUGUGAAGGUGUACUGUGAGGUAUGCUGGAGGUAUCAGAAGUGCGAAUGCUGACAUAAGUAACGAUAAAGCGGGUGAAAAGCCCGCUCGCC
rnacentral:rRNA from 1 species